UGGUUUCUCACCUACUUUUCAUGCUCUAGCUGCAUGUUGGGUAGGAUUCGAUCAAUUGCUAGCGUAGGUAACUCGAUUUAUGAAUUGAAAUUCGACCAAUUUUGGGAUCGAGAUUCCGGCCACUUCAAGUCAAUUUUUGGGGUAGGUCCAGGAACAAAAGUGGUUCCAAAUAGGGUGUUAUACCUAGGGUAGGAGUCUUGAGCCG
rnacentral:lncRNA from 1 species